CCUACGGGUGGCAGCAGUGAGGAAUAUUGGUCAAUGGACGCAAGUCUGAACCAGCCAUGCCGCGUGCAGGAAGACUGCUCUAUGAGUUGUAAACUUCUUUUGCACAAGGGUAAACCUGAAUACGUGUAUUCAGCUGAAAGUACUUUACGAAUAAGGAUCGGCUAACUCCGUGCCAGCAGCCGCGGUAAUACGGAGGAUCCAAGCGUUAUCCGGAUUUAUUGGGUUUAAAGGGUGCGUAGGUGGAUUGAUAAGUUAGUGGUGAAAUUUCGGAGCUUAACUCGAGAAUUGCCACUAAUACUGUCAACCUAGAGAGUAGAUGCGGUAGGCGGAAUGUAUGGUGUAGCGGUGAAAUGCUUAGAGAUCAUACAGAACACCGAUUGCGAAGGCAGCUUACUAAUCUAUCACUGACGUUGAGGCACGAAAGCGUGGGGAGCAAACAGGAUUAGAUACCCCUGUAGUC
rnacentral:rRNA from 1 species